GUCCACGCCGUAAACGAUGGGUACUAGGUGUGGGAGGUGUCGACUCCUCCCGUGCCGUCGCUAACGCACUAAGUACCCCGCCUGGGGAGUACGGCCGCAAGGCUAAAACUCAAAGGAAUUGACGGGGGCCCGCACAAGCAGCGGAGCAUGUGGUUUAAUUCGACGCAACGCGAAGAACCUUACCUGGGCUUGACAUGUUGGUGACCGCCGUGGAAACACGGUUUUCCUUCGGGACACCAUCACAGGUGGUGCAUGGCUGUCGU
rnacentral:rRNA from 1 species